GGACCCUUCACAGUAUCAAACAGAAGUAGAAUCAUGCUCUUCCUGCCGAACCAAACAAAUGCAUCUUUUCUGCAACCACAGCUUCCAUUGCUUCUUUUGCAGAAGCUAUAACAUGGACCAAAUCUUUCUUGGGGCUGCUCAGUGAGUCCAUGUACGCCUUGCGUACCUCAGUAUUCACAUUGAACUUCCUCACACCUCGCUCUAUACAGGCCUUUACAAGUUCCUUGGGCAAGCCAGAAGCUCCGUGAAGAACCAGAACAACUCCUUUCUUGGAACUCAAGUCAUGCAAAUCCUUAAGCAAAUCAAGCCUGAGCUUUGGGCCACUGGCAGGAUACUUGCCAUGUACAUUUCCAAUGCACUGCCAAAGCGUCUAUGCCAGUCUCAUCGAUGAAUUCUUCAGCCUGAUUAACAUCAGUAAGCCUUGCUUCAUAAUCUUCAACAGUCAAGUCAUCCUCUGUUCCUGACAAUCUCCCUAGUUCAGCCUCCACCAUUAUAUUUUUUGGAUGGGCCAAGUCAGAUAUGCACUUUGUGUAUGAUAUGUUAUCCUUGAAAGGAAGAUGUGAACCAUCUACCAUCACUGAAUCAAAUCCCAAGUCAAGAGCUUCCACCAGUUCUUGCUUCAAAGCUCCAUGAUCAAAGUGAACAGUAACAGGAACAUUGGCCUGUUCAGCAGCAGAGACACAAGCAGCAACCAAGGGAAUUCCUCCUUGCUUCAAGGCACUAGGAUGAAUCUGUAGAAUGGCAGGACUAUUUUCUUCCUCUGCUGCAGCAACAACAGCCUCAGCUCCUUCCAUAUUAUAAACAUUGAAUGCACCAAUGGCAUAUCCACCCUUUUCUGCAUUAAGAAGAAGCUCUUUUGUUGACGAAAGCCUAGAAGGACAAGCCCAAGAUUUCACUACUUCCGCCAAUGCUUUACUGUCACCAACAUUACCUGGGAAAACAAUGUAAGGAACUUCUGGAUGUCUACUUUCAGGACCUACCAGCCACAAGGGAACACCAGCCAGAGCUUGUCCAACUAUUUNNNNNNUUGCUUCUAGAGCUUUUGUAGCAAGGUCUGAUGAGGUAAUUCCACCCUUUGCUAUAAUGUAUCGAGGUCUUAUUGAUAUCCGCCGCACAAUUUCCACCAGUGCAGAACUCACUUUAAAAUUGAUCUCCAAACUCUCAGAAGGAGAUUUUCCAGUGAUCAGUUCACGACUGGUCAUUAUUAAUGUGUCCUUGCAGGUCCCAAGGAAAAAAUCUGCCAUCUCAGCGGCUCUACUAAUUUCCUCCUCCCUCUGUUCUAAAGACUUCAUGGCAAGUUUAUCAACAGAAACCUCAAUGGUUCUUAAGAUAUCACCACAUUGUAUUUUUAAUUCUUCAACCUGUUUUGUUGUUUUUGGAACAUAUGAUCCCACAACAAUGAGUCCACCUUUCUUGUAUUUGUUUAUUCCCAGAUCCUUGGGAAGUAUUGGAGCUUUUGGAAUAAUUCCAAUUCGGGCAGAAACAAAACUAGCAGCAGUGCGGCAUAAGAAAGACUUGCCCUUCAAUUCUGCCUGGAUCAUUCCAGCUGCAAAUACAGCCAUGUCUCUUUCACUUGCUGCAUUGACUAUACAAGUUGAACCCUUCUGCAAGCCGCAGAGAAGCUCACAAACAGCAUUUGGUCCGCCUUUCCUUAGAAGUUGGAUAGAUACAGAU
rnacentral:misc_RNA from 1 species